rnacentral:rRNA from 1 species
ACGGGGGAUUAGGGUUCGAUUCCGGAGAGGGAGCCUGAGAAACGGCUACCACAUCUAAGGAAGGCAGCAGGCGCGCAAAUUACCCAAUCCUAACAGCAUAAGGGAGGUAGUGACAAGAAAUAACAAUACAAGGCAAUAAAAAUGCUUUGUAAUUGGAAUGAUAGAAAUUUAAAUACUUUCUAAAGUAUCAAUUGGAGGGCAAGUCUGGUGCCAGCAGCCGCGGUAAUUCCAGCUCCAAUAGCGUAUAUUAAAGUUGUUGCAGUUAAAAAGCUCGUAGUUGGAUUUCUGUUAAAAAUAACCGGUCUGCUUUUUAAUUAAAGUGGUACCUGGUGUGUUUUUAGCAUUAAUGUCCUAUGAAAUGUUUUUUACUUUAUUGUUAAAAGCAACAUUCAGGAUUUUUACUUUGAGAAAAUUAGAGUGUUUCAAGCAGGCUAACGUUUUGAAUACUGCAGCAUGGAAUAAUAAAAUAGGAUUUUGGUUCUAUAUUAUUGGUUUUAAGAACUAAAUUAAUGAUUAAUAAGGACAGUUGGGGGCAUUUGUAUUUGACU